AUUGAACGCUGGCGGCAGGCCUAACACAUGCAAGUCGAACGGUAACAGGAAGAAGCUUGCUUCUUUGCUGACGAGUGGCGGACGGGUGAGUAAUGUCUGGGAAACUGCCUGAUGGAGGGGGAUAACUACUGGAAACGGUAGCUAAUACCGCAUAACGUCGCAAGACCAAAGAGGGGGACCUUCGGGCCUCUUGCCAUCGGAUGUGCCCAGAUGGGAUUAGCUAGUAGGUGGGGUAACGGCUCACCUAGGCGACGAUCCCUAGCUGGUCUGAGAGGAUGACCAGCCACACUGGAACUGAGACACGGUCCAGACUCCUACGGGAGGCAGCAGGGGGGAAUAUUGCACAAUGGGCGCAAGCCUGAUGCAGCCAUGCCGCGUGUAUGAAGAAGGCCUUCGGGUUGUAAGUACUUUCAGCGGGGAGGAAGGGAGUAAAGUUAAUACCUUUGCUCAUUGACGUUACCCGCAGAAGAAGCACCGGCUAACUCCGUG
rnacentral:rRNA from 1 species